rnacentral:misc_RNA from 1 species
GAUGAAGAACGCAGCGAAAUGCGAUAAGUAAUGUGAAUUGCAGAAUUCCGUGAAUCAUCGAAUCUUUGAACGCACAUUGCGCCCCUCGGUAUUCCGGGGGGCAUGCCUGUCCGAGCGUCAUUGCAACCUUCAAGCGCGGCUUGUGUGUUGGGUCUCGUCCCCCUUCCCGGGGGGACGGGCCCGAAAGGCAGCGGCGGCACCGCGUCCGGUCCUCGAGCGUAUGGGGCUUUGUCACCCGCUCUGUAGGCCCGGCCGGCGCUUGCCGAUCAACCAAAACUUUUUUCCAGGUUGACCUCGGAUCAGGUAGGGAUACCCGCUGAACUUAAGCAUAUCAAUAAGCGGAGGA